rnacentral:rRNA from 1 species
GACGAACGCUGGCGGCGUGCUUAACACAUGCAAGUCGAACGGAAAGGCCCUGCUUUUGUUGGGUUCUCGAUUGGCGAACGGGUGAGUAACACGUGAGUAACCUGCCCUUGACUUUGGGAUAACUUCAGGUAACUUGGGCUAAUACCGGAUAGGAGCUCCUGCUGCAUGUUGGGGGUUGGAAAGGUUCGGCGGUUGGGGAUGUACUCGCGGCUUAUCAGCUUGUUGGUGGGGUAGUGGCUUACCAAGGCUUUGACGGGUAGCCGGCAUGAGAGGGUGACCGGCCACAUUGGGACUGAGAUAAGGCCGAGACUACUACGGGAGGCAGCAGUGGGGAAUAUUGCACAAUGGGCGGAAGACUGAUGCAGCAACGCCGCGUGCGGGAUGACGGCCUUAGGGUUGCAAACCGAUUUCGGCUGUGACGAAGCGUGAGUGACGGUAAUGGGUAAAGAAGCACCGGCUCACUACGUG